AGAAAUGACUAAAUAUGAAAUACUUGGGUGCUGUUAUGUUACCACUAACAUAACAUCUGUCUGUCAGAAUCAAUUUCUUCAAUAGAAAAAAAAAAUGGCGAUGAGAAAAUAAUUCCUUGUUUCUUUUCCGCCGUAAUAUCUCAUCGCCCGUCGAAUCGGAAGGGAGAAGUGCAGGGGCAUAACCGCCGCCAAUAAAUUCGACUAUGGGUCCUCAUUGCCUCUCUUCCUCCCACUCUUACCGCCUCUAUUUCUGUUCUGCCGCCAGAAGAUCAAUACUGGGUUAGCCAAUUGGUGCAUCCCUUCAUCACUAGUGGUUCUGCUCAACUAAUUUGUGGUGUACUUAUCAGCAUCAUGGUAGAGGUUUCCUUUUUGCUUGCUUUUCUUUUUGUAUAACUUCUUUAGUUUCUGAUUGAGGAAUGCUAACACUUUCUAUACUAUUGGUUGAAAUUUAUAGGAAAUUACAAAUUUUGGUAGGUCUCACUUCUAAAUCAGGUGAGAGGCUUGGUAAAUGAGGUGGAGGGUGGGACUUACCAGAGUGUGUGGUUUCCGCUAAAGUUUAACCGAUAGUAGAUAGUUGCUAACGUUCCUCAUUUUAAUUAAUUUUUCUGCAUUAUUUCCCUUCUCUAUCAUCACACACAGGAUUUAUAUUAGUAUCUCUUGUUGAUUAAGAAACCGGACUGGACUAGUUCAACCGAUGAAGUGGUUUACUAGAUAGGUUUCAAGUCAAUUCAACCCAAAAUCCUAAAAUCAUCAACGAAUCUGUGAGAAUAGAUCAUAAUGGAGAAUGUUAAAUUUUGAGUUCAAUCUGAAAUAUUUAUCUAGCCAGAUUAAGGUCCAGUGCCCCUGGAAUGAAUUGUUAUUGUUCAGCCUCUUGUGGACGACUUCUCAUCUUCCAGGACAUGAAAUAUGAUCAGUUAUUACUUUCAAUCAUGGUUUCACCAAUAAAUUGGGAAUUAGUGGUAGUACCUUUUGAUUUUUAAAACAUUGGUAUUUUUGUGGAUGAAAUGGAACUAGGUCAUGAAAUCUAACAUUUUGACAUGCUUCUUCGGCAACUGUUGGCUUAUUGUCUUAAUGUACAUUAUGAUGGCACUGGCUAAACGUUGAUGAGAGAUAUGGUGUUAUGCCGUGGAGAACAAGCAUGGUGAAUGCACUGUUAUCAGUUAUUAGUAUUCCUGGUUUAAGGAAUGUUUUUACAACUGAGCAGUGAGCACAUCCGGAUGGCUCGGAACUUCAACUAUAUCUAUAAGAAAACAAUGUACUUGUGUUCUACUCAUUCUUCUUGGUGCGGAGACUGUUGAUGAAUGACUGUGAUGGACGCCCUUGAAAUAGUAUAGUAGAGGUUGCGUUUUGUAUUGUUUUGUUUUGGUUUUAGUUGCUGUUUACAUUUUUAUUGCAGGAUUUCUGCAUCAAAGGCGAAGACAAUGGUUGCUUGUGAGUGGGAAGUCAUCUUGGCAUUUCUUUUGCAGUAUGGUCAAUCAAUUUCUUAAUCCUUAAUUUGCAAGGCAUUGGAAUGCAGUCAUUAACAUUCUAAAGUACAUUAAAAUAUCCUGGCAAAUUGUUGGUUAUAUGGACACACUAGUCAUACUUGAGUCACAGAAUACUUAGAUGCAGAUUGGCAGACUCACCUAUUGACGGGAGAUGCACCUCCGGAUAUUGUGUCUUCAUUCUUAACAACUUGAUCUUCUCGAAAAGCAAGAACUAGAAAGCGGCAAAAUCUAGUGCAAAAGAGAGUAUAGAGUGAUGACUUCUGCAUCUUGUGAACUUAACUGACUCAAACAGUUGUUUGUCACUUCCUGCCACAAAAGAUAAUUUUCAUUUGGAGACAUUACUAUUGGGUCUGUUAAUUUCAAUGAUUAGUUAACAAAUAUCUUCUCUAAAUUGUUGCAAUGCCCUAUGAUUUAUUAUCUAUGUAAUAAACUUGGUGCAUAUGAUUUAUGUGCUUCAAGGGAAGUUUUAAAUGUGUUAAACAAUAUUUUGUAUAUAGGCUUGGGUCCAUCCCUAUGUGAUGACUUGUAUGAUAAUAUGUAUAUAUGUUCCUUAGCUGCCCUAAAAAAA